rnacentral:rRNA from 1 species
CGCCUGUUUAUUAAAAACAUAUUUUUUUAUUUUUUUUUUUUUAUAAAAAAUAAAGCCUGCCCACUGAUUUUUAUUUAAUGGCCGCAGUAUUUUGACUGUGCUAAGGUAGCAUAAUCACUUGAUUUUUAAUUAAGAUCUAGUUUGAAUGGUUAAAUGAAAUAAAUUCUUUAUUAAUUUAAUAAAUGAAUUUUAUUUUUUAGUUAAAAAGCUAAAAUUUUAAAAUGGGACGAGAAGACCCUAUAGAAUUUUAUAAGGUUAGUAUAUUUUAUAAAUUUUUUAGUUUUUGUUAUAUUAUAAUUAUAUAUAUAUAUAUAAUAAAAUAAAUAAUAUUAAAUAUUAAUUUUAUUUUAUUGGGGUGAUAGUUAAAUUUAAUUAACUUUUUAUAUUAAAUUCAUAAAUAAAUGUAUAAAUGAUCUUUUUUUAUUGAUUAAAAAUUUAAAUUACCUUAGGGAUAACAGCAUAAUAUUAUUAAGAAGUAAUUAUUUUUAAUAAUGUUUAUGACCUCGAUG